AUUGAACGCUGGCGGCAGGCCUAACACAUGCAAGCCGAACGAGUGGCAGACGGGUGAUUAAUGUCUGGGAAACUGCCUGAUGGAGGGGGAUAACUACUGGAAACGGUAGCUAAUACCGCAUACCAUCGGAUGUGCCCAGAUGGGAUUAGCUAGUAGGUGGGGUAAAGCCUCACCUAGGCGGCGAUCCCUAGCUGGUCUGAGAGGAUGACGAGCCACACCGGAACUGAGACACGGUCCAGACUCCAACGAGAGGGAGCAGUGGGGAAUAUAGCACAAUGGGCGCUAGCCUGAUGCAGCCUGGCCGCGUGUAUGAAGAAGGCCUUCGGGUUGUAAAGUGCUUUCAGCGCGGAAAAGUUACCCGCAUAAGGAGCACCGGCAAACUCCGUGCCAGCAGCCGCGAUAAUAC
rnacentral:rRNA from 1 species